GCCUGGUGUAGUGAUUUGAGCGCUGGACUAUGACUCUAGAGACCAGGGUUCGAAUCCCUGAUCGGGCA